UUCAUAUCAAUGGAUUCUAGAAUCCACUCCACAGCUCUAUACUCCAGAGCUCAUACAGACAUCACUUUGUUUCCAUUGCUUCUCUGCUUCUGGGUUUCUUAACUGGUCAUCAUUUUCAUAUUUCUCUGCUUUGGUUCGAUUUUGUCUUGUGUGGUUGUAUUUCUGAGUUGUGUUUGAUUUUUGGUGGUUCCGGCAGCCUAGGCAUUUCUGGGUGAUUGUGAUUGGCUCUUUUUCAGGUACAUAAUUAUGAUGGUUUUCUCCUUCUUCUUCCUUGGUUGUUUUCCAUUUUCCUCUUUUCCCUCUUUUUAGUUCGUUUUCUGUUAAGACUACUUUGUAAUUCUCGAGUGUUCCAUAUAAUUAAAUUCUUUUACUUUAUAUUUUAAUUAAGGAUUUUGAGAUUUUAACCUAAAAUUUAUAAUUGGGGGGUUUAUAGAAUUCAAUCGAUCUCCAAAUGCACAUAGUGAUUUUGGAGUUCAAAGGGAAACAAUGGGCGAAGACUAUAAUAAAGAUGUUUGAUAGUGCUAUGAGCGGCUCAUACAGAUAUUAGAGAGUUAAGUAAUUGAAUUUGAGAAAGCUAUAAGAAUUUCUGUGGAAGCUUUUGUCUUUCGUAUCGAUGGUGAUGAUAUUUCAUUUAUUGGGAUUUCAAUAUUAGUUGUUGCUAAUUCUCCUCUUUUUCUUUUUGUUGACUGCUAUCAGGUUACAUUUUGUUUGAACGGUAAGUGGUGAUCAAAUCUUACACUUUUUCAUUUUCGACAUUCUUAGUAUAUCACAAUUGUGACGCCGAGCUUCAUUGAAAAUAUUUGUCUCAUUUGUUGUAUCUCAAUGGUUUUCUCUGUUGCUAUAGUUCUUCUAUGUGCUUUUAUUUUUGGGUGCAUGUUGGUUCUCUGCCUUUUUUCUAGACAAUUCCACUUAUGAAUUUUUUCUUCACAGUUUAUAAUAAUGAUCUGGCUGUGGUAUGAGUUUUCAAUUAAGUAGACAAUUGAUUGUUCCUUCUAACUUGGCAUGCAUGUCCCUUCUACUUGAUUUUCCUAGAGUUAAAUGGUUGAAUUCUUUGUUACCUGGGAGAGAGAAAGUGAAAUAAGUUUAUGUUGAGAAGAGUUGUUUUGUAGUUUCUGAGUAUUGAGAAUAGUUUUUUUAUAAGGUAAAUUGUAUUAAUUAAAAGGGAGAAAAAACUCCCGUAUACAAGAAGUAUACCAAAAAGUAGAGAACAGUAUUGAGAGUAGUUUUACGAAGUAACUGGUUUACUCUUGAACUUAAAAGAAAAUGCAGAAAUUCAUUUGAUCUCAAAUAUUUCAAAUGCACUAGAUACCUUGCUGAAAUGCUGAAUGAUUAUGCUACUAAGUUAUGUUUGAAGGACAGUAAAGUUAAAAAAGGAAGUAAAGCUCUAAUGGUGAAAUGAUAGGACUGGGAUAGAAUUUGUUGCUGGUGUAGAAUUUGGAAAGUUGGAAAGAUUUGUUGCUGGUGUAGAAUUUGCUGCUACUGCGCUCUGCAUGCCUACGGACACUGAGUGAUAUUUUUUUAAAUAUUUUUGUUGUUGUUGCUUCCUGAUUUUGUUUUGAAAGUAUAGUAAGUUGAAAUUCAUUAGGUUAGAUCUGUAUAUGUACAAUUAAAUUACUGAGGGAAGUGAGUUGAGCUUCUAAGCGAGAUGGGUAAGUGGACGAUGUUCAUUGAUCUAAGGAACAACCAAUGUUUGGAAGAUGCUGCUACGUGCAAUACACGUACUAGAAUGCAAUGUCUGCACCUGUUAGCUUUCUGGACUAACUUACAAGAUGUAUGCAACUUAGACUACGCUUUGUGUUAUGAGUUCAUUAUACCAUUCAGGAAUUCUAGGACUCAUUGUUGUUUCCCCAUCUUUUGUAACCUUUUUGAUCCAAAAUAUGUGCAUACCAGCACCUAUUUGAUGUUAAUUAAUAGUUCUUGAUUUCUUAUUAAAAAAAAAUAAGUUUUUGAGUUUA